AUUGAACGCUGGCGGCAGGCCUAACACAUGCAAGUCGAGCGGAUGACGGGAGCUUGCUCCUUGAUUCAGCGGCGGACGGGUGAGUAAUACCUAGGAAUCUGCCUGAUAGUGGGGGACAACGUUUCGAAAGGAACGCUAAUACCGCAUACGUCCUACGGGAGAAAGCAGGGGACCUUCGGGCCUUGCGCUAUCAGAUGAGCCUAGGUCGGAUUAGCUAGUUGGUGAGGUAAUGGCUCACCAAGGCGACGAUCCGUAACUGGUCUGAGAGGAUGAUCAGGCACACUGGAACUGAGAAACGGUCCAGACUCCUACGGGAGGCAGCAGUGGGGAAUAUUGGACAAUGGGCGAAAGCCUGAUCCAGCCAUGCCGCGUGUGUGAAGAAGGUCUUCGGAUUGUAAGGCACUUUAAGUUGGGAGGAAGGGCAGUAAGCUAAUACCUUGCUGUUUUGACGUUACCGACAGAAUAAGCACCGGCUAACUCUGUGCCAGCCGCCGCCGUAACAC
rnacentral:rRNA from 1 species